AGUCUAACAAGUGCUUUCGCAUUGAAUUGGUCAUGACGAGAAGCUCGAACCUAAGCCUUGACUUGUGCUUCCCCUUUUUGCAGAUCCCGAACUUGACGCCCAUUUCGAGCUUCUCCAAGCCAAAAUACUUCAACUGUAUGGAUCCAUGUUUUACCUCCAUGCUCAAGCAAUUCAUACUCCUCCUGGCGGUAAGAGUCCUUCAG